AACCAAACACCCACUUCUUGGUUUCUGGUAUGAAAUCAGAGGCGUGAGCCACUGUGCCUGGCCUCAAGUCUUGAAUAUUUUGCUCAAUUGAUGGAUAAAUAUCAUAGACUAUAGCUAAGCAGAAGUCAAACUUUAUAAAGAGAAAAGCACUGAAAUGCUAAGCUGAUGCAGCAUAGCCCUAUCCACUGACAGACAAGUUCCUUUGGUCACAAGGGGCAUUGCAAAAAAGGGUGCAGCCAGCUUAAUGCAAACAAGCACAUUUUAUUUUAAUUUUUGUUUUUGGAGAAAGGGUCUGGCUGUGUUGCCCAGGCUGGUCUCAAACUCCUGGGCUUAAGCAAUACUCUCACCUAGGCCUUCCAAAGUGCUGGGAUCACAGACAUAAGCCAUGGAAUCUGAUCACAUUUUAAUUUCUUGAAAAAUUCAAAACAUAUCUAUAAAGUCAUGUCAUAUAUAAAGAAAAAUAAGUUGUUAGAAAACAUGUUUUUCAAUUUCGCCAGAGGUCUAGUUAAGGGAUUUUCCUUGUGAUAACUAAUGUGUUUGAUGUCUAAAUGUUUAAAAAAAAUAUUGUAAAUAGAACAUAGCUUCACAAUUGAGGUUUCCAAGAUGAUGAGAAUCAGUUAAUUUUACUUAACUUUUUCCACCAAACAAAGAGGAAGAAAACCACAGAAGAAAAUCCAGAAUAGGCCGGGCGCGGUGGCUCACACCUGUAAUCCCAGCA
rnacentral:lncRNA from 10 species